ACAAGUCGGGCAAGAGCUCGGCGGACAAUCUGCGCGCUGCGUAAUUUGUCAUUCGCCGCCGCUGACCACGGAUGUACUGGCAGCAGCGCCAAGCGAAUGACAGGAAGAGGUCGGGGUAAUGCCCGGCCUUUUUGUUU
rnacentral:sRNA from 1 species